rnacentral:rRNA from 1 species
AUGGCGACCGGCGCACGGGUGAGUAACACGUAUCCAACCUGCCGAUAACUCUGGAAUAGCCUUUCGAAAGAAAGAUUAAUACCGGAUGGCAUACGAAUAUCGCAUGAUAUUUUUAUUAAAGAAUUUCGGUUAUCGAUGGGGAUGCGUUCCAUUAGUUUGUUGGCGGGGUAACGGCCCACCAAGACAACGAUGGAUAGGGGUUCUGAGAGGAAGGUCCCCCACAUUGGAACUGAGACACGGUCCAA